rnacentral:lncRNA from 1 species
GAACCAGACCAAUGACUCAUUGCAAUGAACAUUGGCAAGUGAAGAUGUGUGGGGAGAGAGGUACACCAUCCAAGUAUAAGGCCUUUGAGAUGCACCUGAAGAAGUCUCCUGCUUAGUACAUCAUGACUUCCGUUGCCUCCUCUGUCAUAUUUGUCACAUCUAUUCGUCAUUGGUUUCCAUUGUGCUCAUCAUCAUCAUGGGUUUUCUCCCCUCUGCCAUCAAGGAACCCCAGAUUAGGUCUCAGAAAAUCCUUCUGGUUAUUCGUGGUCUCAAGGUUAAGACUCACGACCUGGACCAAUUUUUGGAGGAGACUGCUAUAUUGGCUCCCUGGAUAUCCCCCAGAGAACAUGUGGGACCCUGACCUCUGGAUGUGUGUUCUCUUCCUUGCCUAAAAGCACGAGGUAGAGUCUGGAAUUAUCCCUCC